UACGGAGGGUGCAAGCGUUAAUCGGAAUUACUGGGCGUAAAGGGUGCGUAGGCGGAUGUAUAAGUCAGUUGUGAAAUUCCGAGGCUCAACUUCGGAGCUGCAACUGAAACUGUAAAUCUAGAGGAAUGGCGGAGAAAACGGAAUUCCACAUGUAGCGGUGAAAUGCGUAGAUAUGUGGAAGAACACCUGUGGCGAAGGCGGUUUUCUAGCCUCCUCCUGACGCUGAGGCACGAAAGCAAGGGGAGCAAACAGG
rnacentral:rRNA from 1 species